GUCGAGCGGUAGCACAGGAGAGCUUGCUCUCUGGGUGACGAGCGGCGGACGGGUGAGUAAUGUCUGGGAAACUGCCUGAUGGAGGGGGAUAACUACUGGAAACGGUAGCUAAUACCGCAUANNNUCUACGGACCAAAGUGGGGGACCUUCGGGCCUCAUGCCAUCAGAUGUGCCCAGAUGGGAUUAGCUAGUAGGUGGGGUAAUGGCUCACCUAGGCGACGAUCCCUAGCUGGUCUGAGAGGAUGACCAGCCACACUGGAACUGAGACACGGUCCAGACUCCUACGGGAGGCAGCAGUGGGGAAUAUUGCACAAUGGGCGCAAGCCUGAUGCAGCCAUGCCGCGUGUGUGAAGAAGGCCUUCGGGUUGUAAAGCACUUUCAGCGAGGAGGAAGGGNNNNGUGUUAAUAGCACUGUGCAUUGACGUUACUCGCAGAAGAAGCACCGGCUAACUCCGUGCCAGCAGCCGCGGUAAUACGGAGGGUGCAAGCGUUAAUCGGAAUUACUGGGCGUAAAGCGCACGCAGGCGGUUUGUUAAGUCAGAUGUGAAAUCCCCGCGCUUAACGUGGGAACUGCAUUUGAAACUGGCAAGCUAGAGUCUUGUAGAGGGGGGUAGAAUUCCAGGUGUAGCGGUGAAAUGCGUAGAGAUCUGGAGGAAUACCGGUGGCGAAGGC
rnacentral:rRNA from 1 species